rnacentral:rRNA from 1 species
AGUAGGACGCACAGUUUAUACCGUAGCUUGCUACACCAUAGACUGUGAGUUGCGAACGGGUGAGUAACGCGUAGGUAACCUGCCUAUUAGAGGGGGAUAACUAUUGGAAACGAUAGCUAAUACCGCAUAACAGUAUGUAACACAUGUUAGAUGCUUGAAAGAUGCAAUUGCAUCGCUAGUAGAUGGACCUGCGUUGUAUUAGCUAGUAGGUAGGGUAAUGGCCUACCUAGGCGACGAUACAUAGCCGACCUGAGAGGGUGAUCGGCCACACUGGGACUGAGACACGGCCCAGACUCCUACGGGAGGCAGCAGUAGGGAAUCUUCGGCAAUGGGGGGAACCCUGACCGAGCAACGCCGCGUGAGUGAAGAAGGUUUUCGGAUCGUAAAGCUCUGUUGUUAAGGAAGAACGAGUGUGAGAAUGGAAAGUUCAUACUGUGACGGUACUUAACCAGAAAGGGACGGCUAACUACGUGCCAGCAGCCGCGGUAAUACGUAGGUCCCGAGCGUUGUCCGGAUUUAUUGGGCGUAAAGCGAGCGCAGGCGGUUAGAAAAGUCUGAAGUGAAAGGCAGUGGCUCAACCAUUGUAGGCUUUGGAAACUGUUUAACUUGAGUGCAGAAGGGGAGAGUGGAAUUCCAUGUGUAGCGGUGAAAUGCGUAGAUAUAUGGAGGAACACCGGUGGCGAAAGCGGCUCUCUGGUCUGUAACUGACGCUGAGGCUCGAAAGCGUGGGGAGCGAACAGGAUUAGAUACCCUGGUAGUCCACGCCCGUAACGAUGAGUGCUAGGUGUUGGGUCCUUUCGGGACUCAGUGCCGCAGCUAACGCA